rnacentral:rRNA from 1 species
GACUAACGCUGGUCUCGUGCUUAGCUCAGUGCAAGUCUAACGAUGAAGGCUAGCUUGCUUCGUGGAUUAUUGGUGAACGGGGGACGAAGACGGGGUUAGCCUAGCUUUAGCUCUGGGAUAAGCGUGGGAAACUGGGUCUAAUAGCGGAUACGACCAAUCUCCGCAUGGGGUGUUGGUGGAAAGCGUUAUGUAGUGGUUAUAGAUGGGCUCACGGCCUAUCAGCUUGUUGGUGAGGUAACGGCUCACCAAGGCGACGACGGGUAGCCGGCCUGAGAGGGUGACCGGCCACACUGGGACUGAGACACGGCCCAGACUCCUACGGGAGGCAGCAGUGGGGAAUAUUGCACAAUGGGCGCAAGCCUGAUGCAGCGACGCCGCGUGAGGGAUGACGGCCUUCGGGUUGUAAACCUCUGUUAGCAGGGAAGAAGAGAGAUUGACGGUACCUGCAGAGAAAGCGCCGGCUAACUACGUGCCAGCAGCCGCGGUAAUACGUAGGGCGCGAGCGUUGUCCGGAAUUAUUGGGCGUAAAGAGCUUGUANGCGGUUUGUCGCGUCUGCUGUGAAGGCCGGGGCUUAACUCCGUGUAUUGCAGUGGGUACGGGCAGACUAGAGUGCAGUAGGGGAGACUGGAAUUCCUGGUGUAGCGGUGGAAUGCGCAGAUAUCAGGAGGAACACCGAUGGCGAAGGCAGGUCUCUGGGCUGUAACUGACGCUGAGAAGCGAAAGCAUGGGGAGCGAACAGGAUUAGAUACCCUGGUAGUCCAUGCCGUAAACGUUGGGCACUAGGUGUGGGGGACAUUCCACGUUUUCCGCGCCGUAGCUAACGCAUUAAGUGCCCCGCCUGGGGAGUACGGCCGCAAGGCUAAAACUCAAAGAAAUUGACGGGGGCCCGCACAAGCGGCGGAGCAUGCGGAUUAAUUCGAUGCAACGCGAAGAACCUUACCAAGGCUUGACAUAUACUGGACCGCAUCAGAGAUGGUGUUUCCCUUCGGGGCUGGUAUACAGGUGGUGCAUGGUUGUCGUCAGCUCGUGUCGUGAGAUGUUGGGUUAAGUCCCGCAACGAGCGCAACCCUCGUUCUAUGUUGCCAGCACGUUAUGGUGGGGACUCAUAGGAGACUGCCGGGGUCAACUCGGAGGAAGGUGGGGAUGACGUCAAAUCAUCAUGCCCCUUAUGUCUUGGGCUUCACGCAUGCUACAAUGGCCGGUACAGAGGGUUGCGAUACUGUGAGGUGGAGCUAAUCCCUAAAAGCCGGUCUCAGUUCGGAUUGGGGUCUGCAACUCGACCCCAUGAAGUCGGAGUCGCUAGUAAUCGCAGAUCAGCAACGCUGCGGUGAAUACGUUCCCGGGCCU